UACAUUCGGACUUGCAUGUUACUGCUUCUGUAAUGAAUUGUACCCUUAUAAUAGCCACAUCAACUGUGUAAUAUCGCCCACGUAGGAUACUGUAUCCAAGGAUGUCUACUGUGGAUAAGAGGAUAUCUCUACUACAUACACAUGGGAGGAUUUUACGGAAUACCUUUUCUGCUGAUAUCUGCCGUCCACAUUGAUAUAAUGAUGAUUCACAUGGGGAGAAUUACCAGCAUCUGAAUUUGAGGAUGUCUGUCAACUCACCAAGCUUUGCAUUUGCGUAAAUGUCGAUUCAUUAUGGAUAUAAAUGCGCUGUGAGCUUGCGGAUGCCUGCUGUGAAGAUUAUCCAUUGACUUUUAGUAGAUACGCACACCUCGCCAAAUGUUUUUGGGGAUGUACAUUGGGCAAUAUGGACAUCAUUCAUGUCAACAGUUGUUGACACUGUGUUGACAUGGGAUCCCGACACACAUAAGGUGGAAACAAGAUAUUAGUAUAACAUCGAACACCGUGGAAAAUGUAUGGAAGCUUUACGGAACUUCUUGUAGGAUGUUAUCUUCGUUCAGAUUACCAAUCACCUACUUGAUUGCAUAGACAGGACAGGAAGUGACGGAAUUACCGAUGUAUGCUGGGAAUACUAGUUUGAUUUCUGUAGCCGUCAUGAGGAAUUCCUUUUAUAAGGUAACCAUCCUCUUAUGUCAAGAAGAUUGAAAGUUGUUCAGGAUCAAAUGUGAAGUGAUUCUUUUCAAGGAAUAUGUAUUGAUUGAAUUUUACCAUUGGAUUAUACUUAUCUGAGCGACGUGCAUGUCAUAGUAACUGCCCGAACCGAGAAAGAAUAUUCUGUGACUGGAUUGCGGUUGUGCUCAGGAUGGAUUACGUAACCUGUUAUGAGCGUGUAUGGCUUACAUCAUGCGUCCUUCAUGCACGGCGACGGGAAUUCUUUACCGAGUUGUGUGAAACGUGCAUGAAGGAUUGUGAAUGUCUACUACCGGCUGUUGUUCGGCGUAAUAGAUCUUCUAAAAUUCGGAAACUGGACCCUCCCUGACUUCAAGUUGUGUGCUCAGAGCUAAGGAACCCCAACCACCUGAGGCUAUGAAGUACCCACAGCUAGCUAUUUGUACAACGGGAUGUGUUCUCAACUCAGGAUGAAGUUAUCGCCAGCGAUAUGCCAUUACCGGGAACAUGGCGGCCGACAAGUCACGUGAUCAGGGGGAGCUCGGAUACACAUGAGUGACGUGUCGUCUGCUCCUUUGAAACCUUUGCACGUGGGGCCAAAGGCACAAAAGAGUUCCAGCAUGGCGAGCGUUUGAAGCCUUUCACCGACUCGUCAAACAUAAAGAAUUAAAAUGACAGAUCUGUACCGAGAAGGUGACCGGAGAAAGAAUGAAAGGAGACACUGAAAGCUGGAAAUAAAACGGUAACAAGUUUGACAUCGACUGGCACUCAUGAAACUUCGACCUCCGCUUCGUUUUAUCUCCUUGUGGGGCACUGACCCGGAAGUGGCCUGACAGACCCCAAGCGCUGUCAUUGGUGCAGGUAUUACUCUUGAGGCUAACGCGGCGAGUGGAGAUUUGAACCUCUGUCCCUCGUUAACUGGGUGUUAAGAGGCUGGCGGUAGCACGCCUGAACUGGCACUUAGAGCCACUGAACAGGUGCAUGUCGCCUGAGAAUUCACGUGAAUGGGGUAAACGCGAAGCUAUAAAUCAUAGAUGUGGUGCUAAUUACGACGAGACCCAUUUUGAGUUAAGUGGAGCGAGGCAUAAGCCCUCAACAGCCUGGGGAGGUCAAGUUACGCAAGAUUACACGAGAUUAUAUGGAAUUUUUCGAGUCACUCGAAAGCUAUUAUUAACCGCUGUAUUCUCGAACCAAAACGCAUUUUCUGUGCUCUUCUUUUAUCUCCAUAGUGAGCAAACAAUGUUUGGAAAGUUGCAUUGAAAACAUUCUGACAAUUGGGUCUUCUUGGAUAGGUCGUGAUCAGCGGUACCGGUAGCUGUUUCCGGAAGUUGAUGUGUGCGCAUGCCACAUGUUUCAUAAAUAAAUGUUCCUUGACAGUAAUAGUUGUAUUUUUCAAGUAAAUGUGGAUGUAUAUCGCUCGCGUUGAUGUCUUCGUCUAAACCUGUACAAUUUCUU